AUGUUUAUGAAUAUAUAGUUUGUCCUGUAAAUUUUGUGUUAACCAGUAUGAUACCCACAUCCGUGUAACCAGUUUAUUCCGGUAAUAAUGGAUUAUUACAGUGAGGCGCGAUGACGAUCCUCGCGCUGUCGCAGCCCGCGAAGACUUGGCCGUUACCUCGGCAACGGCUCGAACCGGCACCUUCGGGCUGCUACGCAGGACGACCAGCGCGAGACACGUCAGAGCGCGCGGCUCGCUCAAAAGGCGGGCGACGCGCGCACUGCAGGCAGUCUCUAUGCAGAGCGGCGCGCGCGACGAUGGCGAGUGCUGUGUUCGCGCUGCUCGUGCUCAGCGCGGCCCUGGCCCGAACCGCGAGCUCGCCGGCGGCCGCCAACGGCACGCGCAGUCAGCUCGAGGUGCCAAAGGCAAGUCCAGGGACUCCUGGUACCCCAGGCACCCCAAAGCUGAAACUGAAAGAAGAGGAGGUGUGGAGUACUCUCAAGGAGGGAGAACAGGCUGAGAGGACACUGGCCACUACUAUCCAGGCACGGAGGGGGAGAGCAACUUCAUCUCCCACAAAGAAAGUGCCCCGUCCCUGUCCUGGCUGCUUCUCAGUCAUAGGAGACCCACCUAUGAUGCGGAUGGGCUGAUGCGGUGCUGACGUUGAGAAGUGUGUCAGGGAGAAAAAUGACCAGCAUCUUCGGCAUACAGAAUGCUUUUACACAACUUUGGACAACUUGUAUAAGUCACCUUUAUCAAAUUGAUAACCUCUUUUUUAGUGCUCAUUUUGUCUGGUCUAAUCAGUUAUAUUGUUCAACUGAGAUAUGUCUGUUAUAGUUGGUAGCCAUUAAUAUCCAGUUUUAAGCAGCAUAGAUCAUGGUGUAGAAUAAUUAGUCUUACUGGCAGCAGACAAUAAAAUGUUUUAUGCAAUUCAUGUACAAGCAUUGUUUGGUCAGUAUGUCUGCAAGACUUUGGAUGCAGCUGCAUAGCAGACCAGGCCUUUUAAAUUACAAGAAAAAAAAUCUUUCCCAUCUAUACAGUUGUCUUCAGGAGCACAGGUUCAGCCCACAUAAAAUAAAAUCUUAUGUUCAAGUCCUUAAAACCGGGCCUAAAGCUGUUAGCUUCUCGGUAAUGUUCAUUACCACAAAUGAAGUUCAGCUUCCGCUCAAGCCCAGGUUUCACGACUAUUUAUUCAAGGCAAUACGGAAAUAAUAACGGACUUUGGAGGAGGCUGUUAAAUAUCAUCAAGUAACAUGUGAGGAGGGAAAGCAAAUGACCACUCUGCACCUCCUGACUCACUGCAGGAACCACUGCAUGUACCAACCAGCUUGGAUCAACAAAGGUGUUAUUUAAUAGGUAGGUCAUAGUUUCCAGAAGGUAUAAAGCCAUUUCAAAAUCCAGCCCCUGCUCCCUUCCUAUAAGGGAACCCUGUGGUUGUACUCUGGCUUCCAAGCCCCUCCAGAAGGUGCAUGAACACAUGGGGUGUCAUCUUGUUCUCAACUCAGCAGGACCCCUUGUAGGGCAUGAUCAGUGACCCCAAACACAGGUCUCCUGUUUCCUGCAUAUAUCUUUAUGUUGCAAUUUUGCAGGUUCUCAAGACUAUACCUGAAGCACUCGGGUGAAUUUUUAAAAGUGAUGGCAUGAAUUAUUUUACAGAGAAAUGGGAAAUUUUUCAAUAGCAUAUACAAAAAUAUGACUAGCAGCUUUGAGGUAACAUGUGCCCAUGCGAAUUAAAAACAUUUGUAAAAAUGGUGGCAUCUGCUUGAAACAAGUGCCUUCAAGUCAAGGUGGACUUUCAGUAACCACAUAAAGUGCCUCCAGAAUGUUCCCUCUUCAUCGUUACUCCGCUUGAACCCAUGUGCUCAUGGACAUGGUCAGAACCACCUUGGUCACCCCAUAGCACUGCCCAGACCAACAAGAGUAAAAAUUUUAUAUGCUUAACAAGGUCUUGCAAGUAGGAUGAAACCAAGGGAAUUUUAUUAGUCUUCCAAUUCAUUUUAUUUGCUUUGCCUUCCUUCUACUUUAAUUUUCAUUUCGCUGAAUGAAUCGAGGUUGUGGCUUUGUCACUUAAGGGGGGGGGAAUUAAAUAUAUAUAUAUAAAAAAGCCAUUCACCUUCACUUGUGCAAGUUUGAGGCUAGACAAGAGACAAAAAAGGUGAAGCAAAAAAAAUGAGAAGACCACACUUUAUUUCAUAUUUCCACCUGGCCUUAUCCUCACUGUUCUAAAGAUGAAUCUUCUCAACCUUUCUGUCCAGUCCACUGACAGAAGUACCACACAUUAAAAAGAUCAUCUUGGCAACAAUGAUUCCAGCAAAUGCACCAAUCCCCCCACCCAUCAAGCAUCUGGUUUGUACUCUGGUGAAUGUAGGAAACAAGGGAUUGAAGAGUCAGUUUCAACACCAACCAUAGAAACUGACUAGUCCACGGCGUUUGGGAAGUUACACCAGUCUGUUUAGUGCUCUUUGGCCUCACCCUACAACGUAGAGCUCUGCCAACCACUGUACGAAACCCAGGCAGCAGUGCCCUCAAGCCCUUGUCUCGGAGAACCAGUCAGGAGGUAAGGAAGCCAUUACUGAGGCGAGAUGGUUCUCCAAAUGCUUCAAGUACCUCCAAGUCUAAGUGGAAGAAAGUGCAUGUGAAUGAGGAGGGCUUAUGAUGGAGGAUCAGGCCAAACGGGGGCCACAGAGUGGUGGGUAACAUGUCAGCCACCCCUUCCACCUUCAGCACUAACCUGUCCACUGUGGGCACAGUAACAAUAAGGUAAAACAGCAGGACAAUGAAACUCGAUGAGGAAAAUGACAUGGAUAAACAAAGUAACAUUCCAGAAAAGAAAAAGUUCAUGUUAGAAACUAUAACUUUAAUGUUUAAUUUUAAAUUAAUGCCAAUUAAAAGGAGAUUCAACUGAUGUUAUGAAGUGACAAGAAAGAAAAGGAAGAAGAGGAAACAGUUCAGUUCACUCAUACGAUGUCACAGAUACUGAAGUACAACUGCACUAUAUUCUCAUGAAGAUGCAGGACAGUGGUUUGAGUGGUGCAUUCUGGGAGCAAAGAUAGAGCUCAGAAAACUAAAUGGCAAGACUUGAAAGAGGACGGCGUACAGAAUUCUAGUAAUUUCUCAGUAAGGCCACUUUAAAAUAGUAAUUUUUCAAAAAGCAGAUAACCUUAUUUCCCCAUACCCACGCAUUUUCAGUCCUUCUCCAUGAGAGCACUUUCAGUCCUCUUGCUGACCCCUGAAGAAGCCUGGAGGCUGCUCCUGUGAUAUAUUAACCUCAUGCCCUCCACAAAAGCUCACAUAUGUAAAGUCCCAGUGGACACACAAGGCGAUUCCUCCUCCAGCUUCCCAACCCUUGUCCAAAAUUCCAGAGUCUUCACCAACAUGCAGCUCAGCUGCAGAACUGCUCUCAAGUAAUGUGACGGUAGUUCAGGUUCAACCUUUGUCCCCAGAGCCGUCCUCAUGAUUCUGCAGUUAUUCAAGGCAAAAGGAUGCACCACCAUUGUGUACAACCCCCUAAUGGACCAAAGAAAAGUUUGAUGCAUCUGAAUCUUCUUUCCACUUGCGGUUCCCAGCUGACACAGGGCUCGCAAUAAGGACUGUGUGCGCGGUGAGGCCCUCCAGGUCUCUGAAGCAGCCUGAUCCAUGUUGUCCGUGUGUGAGUGAAUGUGUGUACGUGUGUUGACUCUGCUUGUAAUCCACUGCU